CCACUGAGAAAAAGCGUAUUUAAACACACGUAAAAAAUACGAUAUUACAUUUGUUAUCAUUUGUUGUAAAACGCAUUGCCACGGACGUUUUAUUGUUUUUCACUGAAUUUUGUUUAUUAAAAAUACAUGGGUGCUUGGAAAUAUCAGCUUUAUUUCUCGUGCUCACUCGUGAGAUAUCAUGUUCAACACUCGAAAUAAAUCUGGUAUUUCCGCCUAUAUCUAUAAUGAACGAGGACAUUUUUGCAUAUGUACUGUAUUGUAAUUGAAAUCCCUCUUUUUCUGUUUUCUGUUUUCUUCGUCGUCGAGAAAUCGAGUUUGCGUUAGCUCAUCGCAGGCUCAGGGUUUCAACGAGUAAGCCAAAAUGCCAUCGAUUUCCCUCGGUUCCGUGAUUUAUAUACUGUAGUAACAAGCUCGUAUUUAUGUAAGUAAUGGCCGGCUCAUGCCAUGCUUGUGGUACAUUUUUCGUUUAUUAGCCCAUACACUUGUACGCACGCGCACAAUUCCGAACUCCAAGGAUAGAGUGCUCCAGUGACAUAUUCAGUUCAGUUUCAAAAUGGGGGUUUUUCACUAAUCGAUCUAAUAUAUAUUUCACACAGUUUCGUUGAAUAUUCAAAUAAUUGUGCCGGUUUCCUAUGGAAAAUACGUUGUAUUGCACUCUACAGUGUGUAUCAAAAUAAUUCGAAUCCAAAUUUGGCGUGUAAUAACGCAGAAUAUAUUUGACAAAUUCGGUUGGUUUUUACACCAUUGUUAAGUUCAUUUAUUUACCUUUCAAAUGACAUGUUGUACGCG